rnacentral:rRNA from 1 species
UAGGGAAUCUUCCACAAUGGACGAAAGUCUGAUGGAGCAACGCCGCGUGAGUGAAGAAGGGUUUCGGCUCGCAAAACUCUGUUGUUAAAGAAGAACAUAUCUGAGAGUAACUGUUCAGGUAUUGACGGUAUUUAACCAGAAAGCCACGGCUAACUACGUGCCAG